rfam:Bacillus sp. SJS contig_03, whole genome shotgun sequence.
AAAGUCCUGAUGUGUUCGUUGGAUACCUUGCAUUUUGACCGAACAAUUUUUUGAUUGGGAGCUCGCGUUUUUGAAAUGAGCAAACGCCUUUUGUAAGGACUUGCGAACUUUCAAAACAGGGCACCCACCUGCUGAGAGCGGGUUCAAAACAAAGGAUAAACACGACGGCACGAUUGGGACUUAG